rnacentral:rRNA from 1 species
UACGGAGGAUGCGAGCGUUAUCCGGAUUUAUUGGGUUUAAAGGGUGCGUAGGCGGACUGUCAAGUCAGCGGUAAAAUACGGGGGCUCAACCCCGUCGUGCCGUUGAAACUGGCGUCCUUGAGUGAGCGAGAAGUAUGCGGAAUGCGUGGUGUAGCGGUGAAAUGCAUAGAUAUCACGCAGAACUCCGAUUGCGAAGGCAGCAUACCGGCGCUCAACUGACGCUGAAGCACGAAAGCGUGGGUAUCGAACAGG